rnacentral:rRNA from 1 species
AUUGAACGCUGGCGGCAGGCCUAACACAUGCAAGUCGAGCGAGCGGCUGACGGGUGAGUAAUGUAUGGGGACUGCCCGAUAGAGGGGGAUAACUACUGGAAACGUUGGCUACUACCGCAUACUAUCGGAUAACCCAUAUGGGAUUAGCUAGUAGGUGGGGUAAAGGCUCACCUAGGCGACGAUCUCUAGCUGGGCUGAGAGGGUGAUGAGCCACACUGGAACUGAGAAUCGGCCCAAGCGCCUACGGAGGCGGCAGGGGGGAAUGUUGCACAAUGGGCGAAAGCCUGAUGCAGCCAAGCCGCGUGUAUGAGGAAGGACAUAGGGUUGUAAAGUACUUUCAGCGGGGAGGCGUACCCCGCAGAAGCAGCACCGGCUAACUCCGUGCCAGCAGCCGCGGUAAUAC